UGCAGUCGAGCGCACGUCUUCAGGAGUGAGCGGCGGACGGGUGCGUAACGCGUGGGAAUCUGCCCUUCAGUACGGAAUAGCCUCGGGAAAUUGAAACUAAUACCGGAUACUGCCUUUGGAGGAAAGAUUUAUCGCCGAAAGAUUAGCCCGCGUCUGAUUAGAUAGUUGGUGGGGUAACGGCCUACCAAGUCGACGAUCAAUAGCUGGUUUGAGAGGAUGAUCAGCCACACUGGGACUGAGACACGGCCCAGACUCCUACGGGAGGCAGCAGUGGGGAAUCUUAGACAAUGGGCGCAACCCUGAUCUAGCCAUGCCGCGUGAGUGACGAAGGCCUUAGGGUCGUAAAGCUCUUUCACCAGGGAUGAUAAUGACAGUACCUGGAAAAUAAACCCCGGCUAACUCCGUGCCAGCAGCCGCGGUAAUACGGAGGGGGUUAGCGUUGUUCGGAAUUACUGGGCGUAAAGCGCGCGUAGGCGGAUUGCAAAGUUGGGGGUGAAAUCCCGGGGCUCAACCCCGGAACUGCCUCCGAAACUAUGAUUCUAGAGUUCUGGAGAGGUGAGUGGAAUUCCAAGUGUAGAGGUGAAAUUCGUAGAUAUUUGGAGGAACACCAGUGGCGAAGGCGGCUCACUGGCUCGAUACUUGACGCUGAGGUGCGAAAGUGUGGGGAGCAAACAGGAUUAGAUACCCUGGUAGUCCACACCGUAACGAUGAUGCCAGAUGUCCCAG
rnacentral:rRNA from 1 species